rnacentral:lncRNA from 1 species
CACAAAAUGCUAAAUUUGGUGUUGAUUGGUAGAGCUCGAUGUGGUAGGAAAAAUAGGAUAAAUCGUACUUACUCAUGGAAUGUAACAUUUACUAUAUUAGGUGAUUCUUUUUUUGAUAAGUAUAUAUGAAUUGUGAACUUACAUUUUACCGUGGAAUUGGUGUAUGUGAUGACUAACAUUACAGCUUCUUUUCUUGUAACAUAGGAAAUUAUGAAAACUGGAAAUGAGGAACUUGUUUCAAAAUUCGAUAAUGACAAUGCCGUCGAGAAUGUUAUCGGGGUGGAAGAAGAAACAUUAGGACACAAUGAACCGAUUGUAUUUGUGGUGGGUAUGAUGUUCGACAACGAUAAAGAAUUGUUUGACUUCUACAAGAAGUAUGCAUAAGAUGUUGGUUUUCAGUUAAAAAAAGAAACUCGAAAAAGGGGGAUGAUGGACUGUUGAAAUAUGUGGCCUUGACAUAUAUUCGUGAAGGUCGAAGAACGAGUAAUGCAAACGGUUCUUGAAAUCCACAACCAAUCAAUCAAACAAAUUGUAAAGCAAGGAUCUCUGCUUCUUCAGAUAGCCAUGAAAUGUGGAGAAUUAACACAGUCCACCUUGACCAUAACCGUAGAACUAGCCUUUCCAAGUCUAGGUUAUAUCGAUGCAACAGAGAGUUGAGCGCAAUAGUGAAACGAAAAUUUGAAGUGAAUGAUUUGGCAGGAAUUCCAUUACACAAAAGUUUCAACUCCGCAGUUGUUGAAAUAGGGGGAUAUGAGAAUAUGACGUGUGUAGAAAAGGACUGUCACAAUUAUAUUGAACAAGUAAGGCGAUUGCGACUUGGAGAAGGAGAUGUGGUUGCAAUACAAAGUUAUUUUUCAAAAACGCCAGCACGAUGCUUGGGUUUUUACUUCAAUAUGGAUGUAGACGAUGAGUCCCGCCUAAAGAACAUGUUUUGUUUUGAUAAUAGGUGUAGGCAGGCAUAAAUGGAGUUUGACGAUGUUGUCACAUUUGAUACCUCUUAUCUCACUAACAAGUAUGACAUGUCAUGAGCACCUUUUGUUGGCGUGAAUCAUCACGUUCAAUCAACUUUGUUCGGCUAUGGAUUGUUAUUGAAUAAGGACGCAGAUAACUUUGUGUGGCUGUUCAGGACAUGGCUUGAAUGCAUACACGGUAACGCUUCUCGUAGAAUAAUUACUCAUUAAGAUAGGGCCAUGCAAAAUGUUAUUGAGAUCGUUUUCCCAAAUACAAAGCAUAUAUGGUGUUUGUGACACAUUUUGAAGAAGUCGCUGGAGGAGUUCGGAUUGGUGUAUGAUUCACGGAAUAUUGAAGAAUUCAAAGCAUGUUAGAAAGAGAUGAUCGAGACACAUGAGUUGAUGGAUAAUGAAUGGUUGUCGGAGUUGUAUGUUAAUAGAGGUUGUUGGGUGCCUUGCUUUUUGAAAAUGACUUUUCAGGCAGUGAUGUCUACAAUUCAACGAAGUUAGAGUAUGAAUGCGUUCUUCGACGGUUAUAUCCAUUCAAAGACCUCGUUGAAGCAGUUUGUGAAACAGUACAAACGAGCACUCAUGAAUAAGGUCGAAAAGGAGUUCAAAGCUGAUUUCAAGUCAUAUUCACAAACUAUACCAUGCGCCACGAAUUAUGAAAUCGAAAAGCAUUUUCAAUCAAUGUAUACCAUUUCGAAGUUCAAAGAAGUCUAAGAUGAAUUCAAAGGUAAGGUAUAUUGUGAUCUCAUAUCUGUUUCAGAGGGAUCUUCUGGGACCAUGUAUGAGGUACGUGAGGAUGUCCUUAAUUACGAGUACUGGAAGAAGAAUUUUUUUUUUAUCUCAUUUGAGAGAGAGACAUCUAAGUUUAUAUGUAGUUGCCACUUGUUCGAGUUUUGAGACAUUGUUUGCAGACAUGUGAUUGCAAUAUUGAUUCGAAAUGACUUCAAACAAUUGCUUGUGUUAUACACUACGAAGGUGGAGGAGGGAUGUUAGUAGAACAUACAAAAGGAUUGCAGUGAAUCACGACGGUCUGGUCAGUACUCCCAGACAGUUGAGGUAUGACAGUAUGUGUCAAGCUUUUGCAUAGGUGGCUGACCUUGAUGUAGAUGAUGAAUGCCGGACACGUACGAUAUUGGAUUGGAUAAAAAUAUAAGUGAAUGAGCUUAUGUCAACGAAAUUGUAUAGUGCAAGCAAUAUCGUUUCGCAGCAUGCUAUACAUUUAUCAUCUCAGUGUACUCCUUCACAAACUACUACAAUCAAUAACAUACGGGAUCCAAAUGUCGCAAAGAAAAAGGGGGCACCCCGAAGACUUCGAAGAAAAAAUUCAUUGGAGUCAAAGAAAUUAGGGGUUUGUUCAUCUUUCCACAUCUCUAUUCUUCAAUAGCCAUGAAUUUGUACUAUGAUUUCAAUUUAUUGUACAUGCAGCCAAGUUCGACGGCAAGCAAAGGAAAGAGAUCGAGACCAAGGCACGGUAAUAAUGAAGAAGCUAUACCUGAAUUUGUAGCUUCGCAACAGCAAUAUUCAAUGCGAAUACCAUUCUCUUAUUCACAACUAUUGUUGGUAAGUACCAUCAUAUUAUUAAACUAUUUGUUUUAGGUGUUAUUUACAUUCUUUUUUAUGUAGGGCGAUGCCGAAAGCUUAGCGUGUACACAACCCUUGCCAACAUCUGAUGUGAUCCCAUCAUUUCCAACGACCAUCAUUUCCAACGAGUGUUAUAUUCAAUCCACAAGAUGAAGGUGAGGUUAAUUCAUUACAUUUCUAUAUGAUUUCUUCAAAUACGUGUACUAAUAUUUGUACUGUUUGACAGGUCACACGUUUCCUUACUACAAUAUGCAUAUGUCACUGCAAGGUUAUCCAACCUCAUUUAUAGUGUUGUAUUGAGAUAUUUAUGCCUCUAGUUUUGUGUUUUGUAUCUUUCGACUAUGUGGAAUUUGACGCAUGCUUUGUUCAUGUCCUUAUCUCAUGUAAGAUCAAAUUGGUUAUGUUUCUAGAGUUAUUUUGUUCAUGUAAUAUACUUGAUAGUUGUGUAUUCUUCUGGAAAGAUGCUUGCUAUGUUUAUAAAUUAUUUGAGCUGUUAUCUGAAUUCGGGGAACCCAUAUGUUCCUAUAUUUUAGCAUCAUCCCCAAAUUUAUACGCUAGGUAAUGCCCGAGUCAAAUGAUUGCUUGUUAGGAAUUUUGAAUUUGGAAUUGUAAGGUACUAGAAUGGUUUCUCUAGCUCUCUAGAAAUGCGGUGACUUUUCAUUUCGAUCUUUCUUUUCAUCGUACUAUUUUUUUUUUUUUUGGGUGCAUGUGUGUGUUGUGAGUGGAUGGGUUUUAAUCUAAAGUCCAAGCCAUUUGAUCUAGUUUUAGAGUUGUUUUAAUCCUUGUUUCUAUGUGGUAGAAUUCAAUCCAUUUUUUGUUUUCAUUCCAGCAUUAAAUGAAGCAUUAAUCGUGGAGAUACGACAUUUGAAGAUUGCAACUGCUGAACUAGGUGGCUAUACAAUUGAGAAGAAUUUGUAGCUUUCAAUAACUUUGAGAACAUCAUCUCCUUUACUUGUAGUUUUGUAAAGUUUGUGCAUAUGGAUAAUGUAGUAAUUCUUUUCAUAAGAGUGUUGAUCGGGUGCCAACUUCUACUUGUAUUUGUGUACAAUUUGUGCAG